rnacentral:piRNA from 1 species
UGGUUUGCAUAUAUAUCUUAC